CGUGCAACAAAGCUGCGGAGGCGGGCCGCUCCCGGCAGGCUCUGCGUGGCACGUGGAGGAUGCCUGCGCCCUUCUCGAAGCCCAGUAGGCGGCGGUGGUGAUGACCGUGGGUCAGGGCCCCGGACCGGCUUCCAGCCGAAGACCCACGCAGCUACAACCGGGUCUCCCUAUGUAGCUCAGGCUGGCCUCCAGCUCACUGCUGUCCUGCUCAGCCUCCCAUGUGCUGCGCUUACAGGUGUAGGCCACCAUGCCCGGAAACUUCUUCAAACAUGAGUUGUAUUCACCACGUUAACAGCAUAAAGGAGAAACUAGCUAUGAUUUCAACAGACGAAAAUGAACUUGACAGAACUCACCUAGUAAUAAAAGCCCUGAGUAACAGAAAAGAGCCUCUUCAACUGGUAACAAGCAUGUGAAACCCCACAGCUAGCAUCAUGCCUGUGAUGCUCACCAAGCACUUCCGCCUAAGAUGAGGACAAACGACCAUGUCCACUCCCUGUAGCCAGGGUUACACUGAAAAUGCACAGACACUAAAAGUGAGCUUGACCUCGAGCUAGAGAGGAGGGGAGGGGAGGGGAGAGGAGGAAAGAAGAGACAAAAAGAAUUAGGGUGUGUUUUGUCCAUGGACUAACUCCCCACAACAAACGUGAUCAUGAUGUACUGAACACAUGUAAUAAAACCUUUUUAUAAACAA